AGAGUUUGAUCCUGGCUCAGAAUGAACGCUGGCGGCGUGCUUAACACAUGCAAGUCGUACGAGAAAUCCUCUGCUUGCAGGGGAGAGUAAAGUGGCGCACGGGUGAGUAACGCGUGGGUAAUCUACCCUUGGAUUCAGGAUAACACUUCGAAAGGGGUGCUAAUACUGGAUAACAUCCUGAUGGUUUCGGCCAUAAGGAUCAAAGAUAGCCUCUACAUGUAAGCUAUUGUUCAGGGAUGAGCCCGCGUACCAUUAGCUAGUUGGUGGGGUAAGAGCCUACCAAGGCAACGAUGGUUAGCUGGUCUGAGAGGAUGAUCAGCCACACUGGAACUGAAACACGGUCCAGACUCCUACGGGAGGCAGCAGUGAGGAAUUUUGCGCAAUGGGGGAAACCCUGACGCAGCAACGCCGCGUGAGUGAAGAAGGCUUUCGGGUCGUAAAGCUCUGUCAAGAGGGAAGAAAGUGGGAGAUGGUAAUACUGUUUUCUAUUGACGGUACCUCUGAAGGAAGCACCGGCUAACUCCGUGCCAGCAGCCGCGGUAAUAC
rnacentral:rRNA from 1 species